GUGGGGAAUAUUGCACAAUGGGGGAAACCCUGAUGCAGCGACGCCGCGUGGAGGAAGAAGGUCUUCGGAUUGUAAACUCCUGUCCCAGGGGACGAUAAUGACGGUACCCUGGGAGGAAGCACCGGCUAACUACGUGCCAGCAGCCGCGGUAAAACGUAGGGUGCAAGCGUUGUCCGGAAUUACUGGGUGUAAAGGGAGCGCAGGCGGAUUGGCAAGUUGGGAGUGAAAUCUAUGGGCUCAACCCAUAAAUUGCUUUCAAAACUGUCAGUCUUGAGUGGUGUAGAGGUAGGCGGAAUUCCCGGUGUAGCGGUGGAAUGCGUAGAUAUCGGGAGGAACACCAGUGGCGAAGGCGGCCUACUGGGCACUAACUGACGCUGAGGCUCGAAAGCAUGGGUAGCAAACAGGA
rnacentral:rRNA from 1 species